CAGUAGCCGCGGGAAUACGAAGGGGGCUAGCGUUGUUCGGAAUCACUUGGCGUAAAGGGUGCGUAGGCGGAUUCUUAAGUCAGGGGUGGAAUCCCGAGGCUCAACCUCGGAACUGCCUUUGAUACUGGGGAUCUUGAGUCCGGAAGAGGUGAGUGGAACUGCGAGUGUAGAGGUGAAAUUCGUAGAUAUUCGCAAGAACACCGGUGGCGAAGGCGGCUCACUGGUCCGGAACUGACGCUGAGGCACGACAGCGUGGGGAGCAAACAGGAUUAGAUACCCCAGUAGUCCCUGUCUCUUAUAC
rnacentral:rRNA from 1 species